GACGAACGCUGGCGGCGUGCUUAACACAUGCAAGUCGAACGGAAAGGCCCUGCUUUUGUGGGGUGCUCGAGUGGCGAACGGGUGAGUAACACGUGAGUAACCUGCCCUUGACUUUGGGAUAACUUCAGGAAACUGGGGCUAAUACCGGAUAGGAGCUCCUGCUGCAUGGUGGGGGUUGGAAAGUUUCGGCGGUUGGGGAUGGACUCGCGGCUUAUCAGCUUGUUGGUGGGGUAGUGGCUUACCAAGGCUUUGACGGGUAGCCGGCCUGAGAGGGUGACCGGCCACAUUGGGACUGAGAUACGGCACAGACUACUACGGGAGGCAGCAGUGGGGAAUAUUGCACAAUGGGCGGAAGCCUGAUGCAGCAACGCGGCGUGCGGGAUGACGGCCUUCGGGUUGUAAACCGCUUUCGCCUGUGACGAAGCGUGAGUGACGGUAAUGGGUAAAGAAGCACCGGCUAACUACGUG
rnacentral:rRNA from 1 species